UCUCCGCCAGCCCGCGGCGGAGGCCGCCGGUCUCGGCCCGGCGGCGGCGGAAGGCCUCGAGGUCGGCCGGCGGAUCCUCGCCCGUCGUGAGGAC
rnacentral:tRNA from 1 species